rnacentral:rRNA from 1 species
UCCAGACUCCUACGGGAGGCAGCAGUGGGGGAUAUUGCACAAUGGGGGAAACCCUGAUGCAGCGACGCCGCGUGUGGGAAGACGGUCCUCUGGAUUGUAAACCACUGUCCCCAGGGACGAGGAUGACGGUACCUGGGGAGGAAGCUCCGGCUAACUACGUGCCAGCAGCCGCGGUAAUACGUAGGGGGCAAGCGUUAUCCGGAUUUACUGGGUGUAAAGGGAGCGUAGACGGUGAAGCAAGUCUGAAGUGAAAGGCGGGGGCUCAACCCCCGGACUGCUUUGGAAACUGUUUGACUGGAGUGCAGGAGAGGUAAGUGGAAUUCCUAGUGUAGCGGUGAAAUGCGUAGAUAUUAGGAGGAACACCAGUGGCGAAGGCGGCUUACUGGACUGUAACUGACGUUGAGGCUCGAAAGCGUGGGGAGCAAACAGGAUUAGAUACCCCCGUAA